rnacentral:rRNA from 1 species
GGGGGAUAUUGCACAAUGGGCGAAAGCCUGAUGCAGCGACGCCGCGUGGGGGAUGAAGGCUUUCGGGUUGUAAACCUCUUUCGCUACCGAACAAGGCCGCAGUUUUUGUUGUGGUUGAGGGUAGGUGGAUAAGAAGCGCCGGCUAACUACGUGCCAGCAGCCGCGGUAAUACGUAGGGCGCGAGCGUUGUCCGGAAUUAUUGGGCGUAAAGAGCUCGUAGGCGGUUUGUUGCGUCUGCUGUGAAAACGCGGGGCUUAACUCCGCGCGUGCAGUGGGUACGGGCAGGCUAGAGUGCGGUAGGGGAGAUUGGAAUUCCUGGUGUAGCGGUGGAAUGCGCAGAUAUCAGGAGGAACACCGAUGGCGAAGGCAGAUCUCUGGGCCGUUACUGACGCUGAGGAGCGAAAGCAUGGGGAGCGAAC